UACGUAGGGUGCGAGCGUUGUCCGGAAUUAUUGGGCGUAAAGGGCGCGUAGGCGCCCUGUGUGUCGGGUGUGAAAGCCCACCUCUUAAAGGUGGAAUUGCAUUCGAAACUACAGGGCUGGAGUGUCGGAGAGGAUGGCGGAAUUCCUGGUGUAGAGGUGAAAUUCGUAGAUAUCAGGAGGAACGACCGGUGGCGGAAGGCGGCCCCCUGGACCGGUACUGACGCUGAGGCGCGAAAGCGUGG
rnacentral:rRNA from 1 species